rnacentral:rRNA from 1 species
GAUGAACGCUGGCGGCGUGCUUAACACAUGCAAGUCGAACGAAGCACUUUGAAACUUUCGGGUUUCAAAGUGACUGAGUGGCGGACGGGUGAGUAACGCGUGGGUAACCUGCCUUAUACAGGGGGAUAACAGUUAGAAAUGACUGCUAAUACCGCAUAAGCCGAUAGAGUCGCAUGACUUAGUCGGAAAAGAUUUAUCGGUAUAAGAUGGACCCGCGUCUGAUUAGCUAGUUGGUGAGGUAAUGGCCCACCAAGGCGACGAUCAGUAGCCGGCUUGAGAGAGUGAACGGCCACAUUGGGACUGAGACACGGCCCAAACUCCUACGGGAGGCAGCAGUGGGGAAUAUUGCACAAUGGGGGAAACCCUGAUGCAGCAACGCCGCGUGAAGGAAGAAGUAUUUCGGUAUGUAAACUUCUAUCAGCAGGGAAGAAAAUGACGGUACCUGACUAAGAAGCCCCGGCUAACUACGUG